AUGCGCAGCCCUCGCUCUCGCACGCAACUCGUGGCCACCUAGCCUAGAGGCGGCUGCCAAGCGUCCUGGCUGAGGGAUGGCGGGACCCCAGGCGGCUGGAGUGGAGAAAGUUGACCGCCCCCGUCUUUUCUGCCCCGUGGGUGGCUACUGCGUGCCCCCAAGUAACCCAGAGGUUGAGGGCCCCCCAGUGCGCGGCGGCCGGGGGUCAGGAUGCGGGACUCCCCUCCACCGCCAUGAUCUCGCAGUGUGGGGGAGCGCUCGGGGACAGAAAUGAGGCCCGAGAUGUGUGCCUUCUCCUUGCUCCUGACCGCUGACUUCGUUAUUCCAAAUACGCAGCCGAAACCAUCGCUCUUGCAGGUGCAGCUUUUCUCUGCCUCUCCUAUGUGGAAAGCAGCGCAGCGUGGACUCCAGCCAAACUCCCUCGAUUGGAUUGCAGCUCUCUGGCUCUCUGUCCCUGUGACCUUGGGCAGUUUACCUCCUCUAUGUCUCAGUUUCCUCAGCUGUGCAAAGGGGUUACUGAUCCUGCUUAAUGGGGUGGGUUGUUGUGAAGAGGAAAUGAGUUAACAUAAGUAGAGAAAGAGACUGGUGCCUGGCAAGCACUAUGUGAGUGUUUUGAUGUUAUUAUUGCUGUUUUUAUUAGAGCUGUGUGUAACGGGACGUUUAAUGAGCCUUUUCCUGUUACCCUGGAAUUAGUGAGUCAGGGCACAAAGGUGAGUACCCAGAGGCAUUCAGUAUCCCACACUGUAAAGGCAGCACAACAUGGCAGCACCCAGAGCUUAUUGUUAGAGGGCUGAAGAGCCAGCCCUGCCAUUCUGAACCACCACCACCCUACCCUCAGGCUUACAUAACUGGACAACGGGGGAGGGAUGGGGCGGGAGGAAGGGUAAGAGUUUCCCUAAGCAGCUUCCUGGGUGCAGAAAUAGGGAGGGUGCGGUGCUAUUACUAAAGCCAACAGGGUGUAGCUCAAAGAGAGUUACCAUAAUGACUUCAGAUGCCUAAAAAAGAGAGGCUGGCAUCUUCCCUGAUUGGAUGUCUGCUUGGACAGUGUGAGCUUGCUAGACUGCCUUUAUACCUGGCUUUGAAGAAAUCUAGAAAACUCAGAGACCUCUGGGCAAGGGUCUUCAGGGGGCUUCCCUGUCAUUGCUUGUGCUGUCCAAUGCCAGACCACAUCCACUAGGCAAGAGGCUGUGGAGCAAACAGCAAUAGGGAGUAACACUGAUGGCAAAGCUAGUUGGAGUUGGGAGUGAAGGAGGUUGAGCUAGAGCUCGUUUCCCAUAUCAGAACACUCUAUACUGAAGAUACCCUGCAGAGCCUUUGGAAAAACUUACAUGAACUCCCCAUGAAAGAAGGUCAGUGGGGCUGGGCGCGGUGGCUCAUGCCUGUAAUCCCAACACUUCAGGAGGCCAAGGCGGGCAGAUUACGAGGUCAGGAGUUCGAGACCAGCCUGACCAACAUGGUAGAACCCCGUCUCUACUAAAAAUACAAAAAUUAGCCAGGCGUGGUGGCACUUGCCUGUAAUCCCAUCUACUCAGGAGGCUGAGGCAGGAGAAUUGCUUGAACCCAGGAGGCAGAGGUUGCAGUGAGCCGAGAUCACACCACUGCACUCCAGCCUGGGUGACAGAGCGAGACUCCGUCUC
ensembl:lncRNA LINC00895 long intergenic non-protein coding RNA 895